rnacentral:rRNA from 1 species
AACGAACGCUGGCGGCAGGCCUAACACAUGCAAGUCGAGCAGACCUUCGGGUCUAGCGGCGGACGGGUUAGUAACGCGUGGGAACGUGCCCUUCUCUGCGGAAUAGCCACUGGAAACGGUGAGUAAUACCGCAUACGCCCUUCGGGGGAAAGAUUUAUCGGAGAAGGAUCGGCCCGCGUUAGAUUAGAUAGUUGGUGGGGUAACGGCCUACCAAGUCUACGAUCUAUAGCUGGUUUUAGAGGAUGAUCAGCAACACUGGGACUGAGACACGGCCCAGACUCCUACGGGAGGCAGCAGUGGGGAAUCUUAGACAAUGGGGCGCAAGCCUGAUCUGGCCAUGCCGCGUGUGUGAUGAAGGUCUUAGGAUCGUAAAGCACUUUCGCCAGGGAUGAUAAUGACAGUACCUGGUAAAGAAACCCCGGCUAACUCCGUG